UUUACAAUGGAGAGUUUGAUCCUGGCUCAGGAUGAACGCUAGCUACAGGCUUAACACAUGCAAGUCGAGGGGAAACGACAUUGAAGCUUGCUUCGAUGGGCGUCGACCGGCGCACGGGUGAGUAACGCGUAUCCAACCUUCCCAUGACUAAGGGAUAACCUGCCGAAAGGCAGACUAAUACCUUAUGAGGUUUUCUGCAGACAUCUAAUGAAAACGAAAGAUUUAUCGGUCAGUGAUGGGGAUGCG
rnacentral:rRNA from 1 species